GUUAUAGGGUCAAGCGAACAAGUGCAUGUGGUGGAUGCCUUGGCGAUCACAGGCGAUGAAGGACGCGGUAGCCUGCGAAAAGCUACGGGGAGCUGGCAAACAAGCUUUGAUCCGUAGAUGUCCGAAUGGGGAAACCCACUCCUUUUGGAGUAUCCAUGGCUGAAUACAUAGGCCAUGCGAAGCGAACGCGGUGAACUGAAACAUCUAAGUAACCGCAGGAAAAGAAAUCAACCGAGAUUCCCAAAGUAGUGGCGAG
rnacentral:rRNA from 1 species